rnacentral:siRNA from 1 species
ACAGAUAACAGAGUGUAAGGUGA